CCUACGGGGUGCAGCAGUGAGGAAUAUUGGUCAAUGGACGAGAGUCUGAACCAGCCAAGUAGCGUGAAGGAUGACUGCCCUAUGGGUUGUAAACUUCUUUUAUAUGGGAAUAAAAUGUUCCACGUGUGGGAUUUUGUAUGUACCCUAUGAAUAAGGAUCGGCUAACUCUGUGCCAGCAGCCGCGGUAAUACGGAGGAUCCGCGCGUUAUCCGGAUUUAUGGGGUUUAAGGGGAGCGUAGGUGGAUUGUUAAGUCAGUUGUGAAAGUUUGCGGCUCAACCGUAAAAUUGCAGUUGAAACUGGCAGUCUUGAGUAUAGAAGAGGUGGGCGGAAUUCGUGGUGUAGCGGUGAAAUGCUUAGAUAUCACGAAGAACGCCGAUUGCGAAGGCAGCUGACUGGACUGCAACUGACACUGAGGCUCGAAAGUGUGGGUAUCAAACAGGAUUAGAUACCCUAGUAGUC
rnacentral:rRNA from 1 species